UUUUAGCCCCGAUUGGCAGUGAAAUCCUUCUGCGCCGUGGUCCGCUACAAAAGAUUAUAACAGAGAGCGGGGACAGUU
rnacentral:sRNA from 1 species